rnacentral:rRNA from 1 species
UACGUAGGCAGCAAGCGUUGUUCGGAGUUACUGGGCGUAAAGGGUGCGUAGGCGGCUUUUUAAGUUUGGUGUGAAAUCUCCCGGCUCAACUGGGAGGGUGCGCCGAAUACUGAGAGGCUAGAGUGUGGGAGAGGAAAGUGGAAUUCCUGGUGUAGCGGUGAAAUGCGUAGAUAUCAGGAGGAACACCAGUGGUGUAAACGGCUUUCUGGACCAUAACUGACGCUGAGGCACGAAAGCGUGGGUAGCAAACAGG